rnacentral:lncRNA from 10 species
AGAUCAGAUGCAGUGAAAGGAGACAGGGAGGCGGGGCGAGGAGGAGCCAUCCCCAGUAGCAGCCCCCUGGCUGUUGUUCAGCACCAGGGAUCCUUGAUUUGCAGCAGGCUAAAGGGACAUUACAGGUCAUGGCUUUUACCCAGCUCUGUCAUCUAAAGUUAUUGACAUUAAAUAAAUGCUCACUUUUCAUUUGCUUCAAAUUAAAAAAAAAAUACAUGCCUUUAUUGUCUUUCUCUGCUAAGCCAAACCUGAGGCUUGUGCCAGCUCUUUCCAUGUGGAAAUGUUAGAUGAAAUUCCAGUGCCAUCAAAUGAGACCUUUAUUCCUCCACCUGCACAUUAGGACUCGAAUAAACACGUUAUCAGCUCGUGAAAAUGAUGGCAAACAGGUGACUGAAGGAUUUGAUAAGUCAGCAGCAAAGAUUAACAGUUCUUUUCAGAGAAAGCUGUGAGAGGUUCCCCUAUUUAAAACAAUUGUGGCAUGUGAAUUUGCAGCACUUAAAUCAUUAUCGGCAAUUAGUCCUUGUCAAAAAGGUUGCAGCUGGCUUCAAUUACAGGUGGCCUACCUGGUUGGGUGGUCCAGACUUCCACGCCUGAGAGCCCGAGCCCUUGGUCGUCACGUCCUCCUUUGGCUUUGGCUGCUGCUCUUGUCCAUUCACCAUCAAAUAUGGAUGAAAGAGUCCAAGGCGACACCUUGAUGGAUCUCCUGAGUGCCGAAUGGAGUCAGUAGCUUCAUUGUGCAGUAGCUUCAUCCUCCUGAGAAUCCCCCUGCGAUUCCCCAGCCUGCCAGGUGUCCCACAUGAACGCAGCCUGUUCUGGUUCUCCUUCCUGAUAAGAGUGGAAAAGAAUGCAUUCACCCGGUAUGGGCUGCAUUCCUGGGCCACAGGCCACCAAGCUCACCUGCACCAGGAAAGCUGCUCCCCACCAGUUACAAACAGCAACUGCCUGAUCGAGUUGCAGAUGUCCAUUGUCAUCCUCUAGGGUCUGUCGGGAUUUUCUAGGGCCAGACGUGAAUUAAAUAGGGGUGUGCUGGGUGCAGCCCUCGCAUCCUCUAGGUGUUUAAUCUCUGGCAUUUCCUCUGGGAUGUGAUAUUAUUUUUGAUUUCCUGCAUUGAUGUGUGUGUCUGGGAGUGGGGGGCCUCCACUUGAACUUCCCCAUGGUGGUAGUUCCUACCACCGACUCCUAGGAACUAAUGUGGCAGUUUUACCAAUUUCAAAAGUCAGUUUGAAUUCUACAUUUGGAGGCUGGGGAAAGGGCUCCUGGUUGGGUCUAUGGACCCAGGGGAGUCACUGUGAGCUGGGUUUGGUUACCUCUUCCUUCAAAACCGGCCCCUGCACACCUCCACUCUAACAGAGGGUUCAGGACCAGGCCUAGGUCCCUAGGUACCAGUGUCGCCUCAGAUCCUGUGCCCAGUGGUCCUCACAUGGCAUGUGUCUCUUUGUGGACGAUCUGGGGGAGAAUGUUUGUACAGACACUGCUGUGAUGGGGGAGAAUGUUUGUAUAGACACUGCUGUGAUGUUGGAGGGUCCUUCCUCCCGGGGCUCACCCUCUCCCUCAGUCAGUGGGUUCCAGGUCUGAAAAUGAGCUCAGCUCCAGGGCUGAAAUGUAGCUUUCUAUUGGUCAUUUUCCUGAAGCCUCUUGACUAGUUUCCCUUGAGAAAAGCUUUUGCUAAGGGUGUGUGGAUUGAGAGGUGCCCUUUUCUCCUGCUAUAUAUCUACCCUUUGCAGAUGGGGUCAGGUGCUCCAGCUGCCACUCUGGGCUUGAUGCCCUGUGUCACUGUGCCUACCUUGCUCCCUGCCAAAUGACACACUAGCUUCUGUUGUUGUGGGAUUCCAUUGGCCUCCUUUGCAUUCAAGAGUCCAAUUCUGUAACAACAGCAUAGCCGCCCCGCUUGUUUCCGCAGGCUCCCUCUCAGCAGUGCGUUCUUUAUCUAGCUGGUAACUGGCAUGUUCUCUGGUUGAAGGGCGUGGCUGGCUUUCCGAGCUGAUGUGCUGGACCUGCUCUAGAGGGCAUACUCCUCUGAGCCUUUCUGUCCCUUCCUUCAUGGGCAGGAGGGCGGCCCAGGCAUUUCUGCUUAACUUAGUAUGGACCUUUGCUUCCUUCAGGCUCCUAGGAGCCCUCCUAGAGCACGUUAGCACUGCUUAGGGGCCUUGCCAGAGUUUACAACCCUGGAUCAUGGAAGGGCAGGCCCACACUGAUAAACUCUCCCUAUUCCAAGCUUAGGUUCUGACCGUCUUAGUCUUGUACCCUCAGAACCCAGCCCCACACAUUCUCCUGGUUUCUGCCCAUGCCUCUCCAUGAGGUCUUGCAGCUUCUCUGGGGGCCUUUCUUCCUGUAGCAGGCACUUCCUGCACUUCCCCAUCUAUGUACUGCUGUGACCUGAACCUCAUGAUCAGCCCGGUUAGCGGGAGGGGAAGUGGGGGCAGAGGCCCAGGGGUGCAUGCAUCAGGGAGAUGCCCACAUUGUCUUGUGGGGCAGAGCUUCUGCAGCAGGGGUCCCCAGUCUUUCUGGCACCAGGAACUGGUUUUGUGGAAGACAGUUUUUCCAUAGACUGGGGGUGGGGGGUGGUUUCAGGAUGACUCAAGCACAUUACCUUUAUUGUACAAUUUAUUUCUAUUAUUAUUACAUUGUAAUAUAUAAUAAAAUAAUUAUGCAACUCACCAUCGUGUAGAAUAAGUGGGAGCCCUGAGCUUGUUUUCCUGCAACUAGAUGGUCCCAUCUGGGGGUGAUGGGAGACAGUGACAGAUCAUCAG